GCCUAUCUAUUCCCAUGGGUAAACACAAAUCAAAAUUCUCACCUCUAACUUUACUCUCUUUUCUCUUAAGGAGCUAGGAAGCUCUCUUGAGUCCCUUUUGUCAAACUUACGGGUCCACACAUUAAAAGAAAGAUAAGACUCUAUCUCAUAUCUUCUUCACACCCUCUCAAAGAAACUGAAAAUUUAAAAAGUUUUCUCCCUCUUUCAUACCCAUGGUCCAACACCAAAAGAAAGAAAAGACUCUCUCAAGCUCUCUACCUCUCAUAUUUUCGGGUCCAGCCACUAGGAAAGGGAAAUCUUUUCAUGCAAGAGUGAUUUUAUUUCUAUUUCCCCUCAAGAACCAGAAACUUGAUGGCUCCCACUAAGCAUGCAGCCACCAAGAAAUCAUCCAAACGUGCACGCACUGAUUCCUACAACUUCAAGUCAGCAGAAGCAGAUAUGAAAUACAAUGAUUGCUACAAGGGCGCAACCAUUAUCAUGGAAAGGGUAGUGCAAUUGGAAUCACUUGAGGGCACUUUCAUUCCUGAGGUGUUCAAAGAAAGAACUUAGACCAAAUUGUUGAACCCGGUUGGGGUUGUGUAUUAAGAGAUUAUCAAGGAGUUUUUCUCCAAUGCUGUUGUUGACGGGGAUUGUAUUGAGUGCUGGGUGAGGCAUAAAGAAUUUGUGAUUACAAGGGAAAUCAUCCAAGAUUUUUUAGAGGUUCGUCCUCCCUCACAGUCGAUUACAGUGAAAUAUGAAGAUAGAUUGCGGUCUACUAAUGAGUUAAUACGGACACUUGGUGGCACACCAAAAAAGUCAUCCAUGAACACAAUACCAUUCUCACUAGAGAUGAGGGCUUUGGCAUAUGUGAUGAUUCACAACUUGUAUCCGGUCACCAACCUCACUACACUGUCAGCUCUAAGGACAAGAUUUCUGUAUGAUCUCUUUACCCAUAAAGAGAUAGAUAUCUGUGGGCAUAUCAUCCAUGUCUUGAAAAAGAGCAUUGAGAAGCAGAAUUCAAGGACUGUAAUGCGUUUUCCCUCAUUGAUUAUGGGAUUGAUUGUUAAGGCAAAACUGAAACUCUCGAGUGGUCUGACAGUAGUCCAGAGGGACUAUCCUAUUGGUGCACACACAGUCAAUAGGAGCACCGCUCACAUCAAGGGCUCCAAAACUGGUGUACACACGAUACCACAGAAUCGUGUUGAGGACGAGGGUGGAGAUACAGAGGAGGAGAUUGACAGAUUCACUUCCGCUCCAGAAUCAUCAACACAACCAUCUUCCUCAGCACUAGCAUAGGGACCAGAUAGACUUGAUCACAUUCUGGCCAGAGUUAAGCAGAUGUACACAAUGCUAGAUUCCCAUGUACAGCAUACGGCAAACCAGUUCACUUAUGUUCAAGGACAUAUCACAGCAUUAUCUACUCAGAUAGAGGAGUUAUCCAUCAAUCAUGGUUAUGACUCAGAGUCUGAGGCAUUCUAGCCCUUUGGCCAUUUCGGUCAAAAAGGGGGAGAAAAGUUUGAGGGGGAUUUGAGGGAGAGCCUGCAUAGUGAAAGGGGGAGUUUGAAAAGCUAACACAUAAACAUAGUUGUUUUGGUUCAAACUGUUUUUAGUUUUUAUAACUAAUAGUUCUUGUUUAUGUUUUUACUGAUUUAUGUAAAGCUUUAGUACUUUAUGGUUUAA